CACCGCGGUCAUACGAUUAACCCAAAUUAAUAGUAAUACGGCGUAAAGCAUGAUUAGGGAAUAAUAUAAAUAAAGUUAAAUGUAAAUCAAAGCUGUAAAAAGCUCCUGAUUAACUUAAAAUAAGACACGAAAGUUACUUUACCACUCCUGAAUUCAUGAUAGCUAGGAUA
rnacentral:rRNA from 1 species